AUGAAACUCAAACCAACAGCACUGAAGCACAUGUGACCGGGAGGUCACAGCCUCAGUGUGUGAAGGAACCAGGCAUCAGCCUCAUACCUUGGAGGACACUUUAAAUGCAAAAUCACUACUGAAAAAAAGCACAGGAAGUGAAAACACGUGCCAGAUGGAUUUCACAGUCCCUCCCCAAGUGUGGGAGCUGGGAGAAGAAGGCAGAGCUUUCCUGCUCAGUCUGGGAUGGGAGCCUUGGGAGACUGAAUUUUGGCUGCUCUGCGCGUGUUUAAGAAUGACCUUGAAAUCACCUAGGGCUCAUCUGGGUCAUCUAGACCCUGCCCACGGCCUGCAUUGAUACCGAAGAUCCUGGACCCCUGGAUUUCCCAGGAUGGAGCCCAUUCCGGGUGCCGCAGCAUCAUGGAGGGUCCCAGCACAGGAGAGGGCCUGUUUGCCCUGGGAGGAGCAUUGUGCAUGGCACAGAAGCAAGUGCCUGGACAUCAUUAUCUUCAGUAAAGGAAACAGCUCAUUUUGCAGAUGAGGAAACUGAGACCCCAAGAAUGAAAGUGACACGCUUCGGUCAUUCAGCAGAUCAAUGGCAGAGCUGGAAGAGAGACUUGGAGCCCAUGUCUCCCCUGCCCUCCCUCUCGUGUGUUGAUGUAUGGAACACCACUCAUGCCAGGCCUUGGGUUAGGCCCUAAGGAUUAAAAAGAAGACCCUCCUGAA